rnacentral:rRNA from 1 species
AGACCCGAAACCCGGUGAUCUAGCCAUGGGCAGGUUGAAGGUUGGGUAACACUAACUGGAGGACCGAACCGACUAAUGUUGAAAAAUUAGCGGAUGACCUGUGGCUGGGGGUGAAAGGCCAAUCAAACCGGGAGAUAGCUGGUUCUCCCCGAAAGCUAUUUAGGUAGCGCCUCGUGAAUUCAUCUCCGGGGGUAGAGCACUGUUUCGGCUAGGGGGCCAUCCCGGCUUACCAACCCGAUGCAAACUGCGAAUACCGGAGAAUGUUAUCACGGGAGACACACGGCGGGUGCUAACGUCCGUCGUGAAGAGGGAAACAACCCAGACCGCCAGCUAAGGUCCCAAAGUCAUGGUUAAGUGGGAAACGAUGUGGGAAGGCCCAGACAGCCAGGAUGUUGGCUUAGAAGCAGCCAUCAUUUAAAGAAAGCGUAAUAGCUCACUGGUCGAGUCGGCCUGCGCGGAAGAUGUAACGGGGCUAAACCAUGCACCGAAGCUGCGGCAGCGAACGUAUCACUUAAAGCGAUUCAGCGGGUUACGAUUGACGGAGCGAAGCGACGUCAAAGCGUAUACAAAGUCGAGUCGGUUUAAGGAUACGUUCGUUGGGUAGGGGAGCGUUCUGUAAGCCCGUGAAGGUGGCCUGUGAGGGUUGCUGGAGGUAUCAGAAGUGCGAAUGCUGACAUAAGUAACGAUAAAGCGGGUGAAAAGCCCGCUCGCCGGAAGACCAAGGGUUCCUGUCCAACGUUAAUCGGGGCAGGGUGAGUCGACCCCUAAGGCGAGGCCGAAAGGCGUAGUCGAUGGGAAACGGGUUAAUAUUCCCGUACUUGGUGUUACUGCGAAGGGGGGACGGAGAAGGCUAUGUUGGCCGGGCGACGGUUGUCCCGGUUUAAGCGUGUAGGUGUGUGUUCCAGGUAAAUCCGGUUCACUUUAACACUGAGGCGUGACGACGAGGCACUACGGUGCUGAAGCAACAAAUGCCCUGCUUCCAGGAAAAGCCUCUAAGCAUCAGGUAACACGAAAUCGUACCCCAAACCGACACAGGUGGUCAGGUAGAGAAUACCAAGGCGCUUGAG